CGCCCGCCGCGCGCGGCGGGCGGGGCGGGGGCACGGGGGGCCUACGGGAGGCAGCAGUGGGGAAUAUUGGACAAUGGGCGAAAGCCUGAUCCAGCCAUGCCGCGUGAGUGAUGAAGGCCUUAGGGUUGUAAAGCUCUUUCGUCGGGGAAGAUAAUGACGGUACCCGAAGAAGAAGCCUCGGCUAACUCCGUGCCAGCAGCCGCGGUAAU
rnacentral:rRNA from 1 species